ACUUCGUCUUUAGCUCCUGGCGCUGCUGGCUUCUGGGCGGUUUUUGUCUUUUGAUUUCAAGAGUUAGGAGCUCGAGAACCGUUUGGCAAUAUGUACGACGCGGAUGAGGAGUCUCGCUCUGUGGCCCAGGCUGGAGUGCAGUGGCGCGAUCUCAGCUCCUGCGAGGAGGCGGACCGCCCAUUCCGUGCCCGGUAGCCGCGAGGGACCGGUGGUAGCCGCGAGGGACGGGCGGCGGGCUCGGUGCUGUGGCGAGGCGGGGAUGGCACUCCCCCCCGCCGCCCCGUGGGGCGGCCCCGACUUUCGGGCGAUAUGCAAUAUGAUGAGGAUGAUGAUGAAAUCACCCCGGAUUUGUGGCAAGAAGCAUGCUGGAUUGUAAUCAGUUCCUAUUUUGACGAGAAAGGCUUGGUUAGACAACAGCUGGAUUCUUUUGAUGAGUUUAUUCAGAUGUCUGUUCAAAGAAUUGUGGAAGACGCUCCUCCUAUAGACCUACAGGCUGAAGCUCAGCAUGCUAGUGGAGAAGUUGAAGAACCGGUAAGAUA
rnacentral:lncRNA from 1 species